CGCUCGUAUUCGCGGCACGGUGCUAUUUCAGUUGGAUGUUCGAUCCUUGCGCGAAUCGCGGAUACACUAGGUGUCUCAGCAAUUGUAGUAUAAAACAGUCGAACGAAACGAUUCAUCAAACGGAAACGAACCAAACAUUUUAAAUGGAAUUUUCUUGUAUGAUAAAUUGUAAAAUGAUAAAAUCGAUAGUUUAUUUACGUGGUAAAGAAAUUCAUUCUUUGGCUAUUUAAAGUAAAUUUAACAUUCGUAAAUAAAAAUCAUACAACCUUUAAGCUACCCUCAGUCAUAUAUUCCAAGAAGAGACCCGUAGCGAUCUCGUCGCGAACGAGUGAAUUAAUGCUGUAAACUCCACUAUCGAUGCUAGAAUUAUGUCUCCCGUGAAAGUACUCUGGAAUACUUUAUUGUGCAGAGCAAAGCAAACACGGUCUAUAUUGUCGUAUUACUAUAUUGAAAAUUUAUAAACUAAACUCACGUAUAUAUCACGUAUAUAUCAGACUCCUUGAAGAGGCUAAAGGACCUGAGGAAACUGUCCUCAUGCAUACGAUCUACACGUACGUUGCAAUCACGUUCGAAGGGGUAAUUCUGUAGGAGAUUGCCAAUCCUCCGCAGCAACAAGUAUAACUAAGCUGGUAUUUCGCAGGUGUGAAUCGAAUUUCGAAAAAAAAAAAGAACAUCCGAGUUGAAGAUGACUUCGAUGGUGCUCACAAUUAAUUUUUAUUGUUUCAUGUUACAUUACUUGUCUUUAUAUCGCGUACGUGGGUACUGUACUCAGAUUUUAGAAUAUCUAGAGGCUUUCAAUAACAAUAAUCGUUACAAA